UACAGAGGGUGCGAGCGUUAAUCGGAAUUACUGGGCGUAAAGCGUGCGUAGACGGUUAUUUAAGUCGGGUGUGAAAGCCCCGGGCUCAACCUGGGAAUUGCAUUCGAGACUGAAUAGCUAGGGUACGGUAGAGGGAAGCGGGAUUUCCGGUGUAGCGGUGAAAUGCGUAGAUAUCGGAAGGAACAUCAGUGGCGAAAGCGGCUUCCUGGACCAGUACCGACGUCAGGCACGAAAGCGUGGGGAGCAAACAG
rnacentral:rRNA from 1 species